GCUCUUCGGAGCUUGGCGAAAGGCUCAGUAACACGUCAAUAAUCUACCCUUGGGUGGAGCAUAACCUCGGGAAACUGAGGAUAAUUCUCCAUAGAAUAUAGAUACUGGAAUGUUCUAUAUUCCAAAGUUUCGACGCCCAAGGACGAGUUGGCGGCAGAUUAGGCUGUUGGUGGUGUAAAGGACCACCAAACCUGAGAUCUGUAAGGGGGAUGAGAGUUUGAGCCCUGAGAAGGACACUUAGACAAGGGUCCUAGCCCUACGGGGUGCAGCAGAUGCGAAACCUCUACAAUGCACGCAAGUGUGAUAGGGGAACCCCUCGUGCUUACGGAUUCCGUAAGCUUUUGCCAAGUGUAAAUAACUUGGAGAAUAAGUGGUGGGCAAGACCGGUGCCAGCCGCCGCGGUAACCCCGGCGCCACGAGUGGUAGCCGCGUUUAUUGGGCCUAAAGCAUCCGUAGCCGGUUAGCUAAGUUUUCGGUGAAAUCUAACAGCUUAACUGUUAGGCGUGCCGAAAAUACUGGCUAACUUGAGACCGGGAGGGGUUGGAAGUAUGCCUGAGGGAGCGGUAAAAUGUUGUAAUCUCAGGGAGACUACCAGUGGCGAAGGCGUCCAACCAGAACGGGUCUGACGGUCAGGGAUGAAAGCUAGGGGCGCGAGCCGGAUUAGAUACCCGGGUAGUCCUAGCUGUAAACGCUGCCUGCUUGGCGUUGCAUAUUCUUCAGGAGUAUGCAGCACCGUAGUGAAGAUGUUAAGCAGGCCGCCUGGGAAGUAUGGUCGCAAGGCUGAAACUUAAAGGAAUAGGCGGGGGAGCACUACAAGCGGUGUAUGCUGCGGUUUAAUUGGAUUAAACGCCCGGAACCUUACCAGGAGCGACAGCAGAAUGAAGGUCUGUCUGAAUGGCACACUCGACACGCUGAGAGGUGGUGCAUGGCCGACGUCAGCUCGUGCCGUGAGGUGUUCGGUUAAGUCCGAGAACGAGCGAGACCUAUGCUUUCAGUUGCCAUUGCUUUUUUACGAGAGCAAGCACACUGAAAGGACUGCAUGCGUAAGCAUGAGGAAGGUGUAGGCAACGUUAGGUCUGUAUGCCCCGAAUCUCCUGGGCUACACGCGGCACUCAUUGGUUGAAACAACGGGUUGCAACUCCGAAAGGAGAAGCUAAUCCCUUAAAUUUAACCUUGUUCGGAUCGAGGGCUGAAACUCGCCCUCGUGAAGUCGAAAUCGCUAGUAAUCGUGUUUUAGCAUAGCACGGUGAAUAUGUCCCUGUUCCUUGCACUCACUGCCCGUCAAACCAUCCGAGUUGGGUCUGGAUGAGGCCUAAUCUUUUGGUUAGUUCGAAUCUGGAUUCAGCGAGGCGGGUUAAGUCGACACAAGGUA
rnacentral:rRNA from 1 species